UCACCAAGUCCAACCCCUGGCUACAGCAGCUCCCCACAGCAAGUUGCAGGAAAGCAUUCAGGUGUGUCUUGGAAAUCUCCAGAGGAGAAGGAGGCACCACAACCUCUGUGUGCAGCCCAUUCCAGGGCUCUGUCACCCUCAGAAGAACAACAUCGAGCUGGAAUCACAUCAGCACAGCAAAACUUGAGACAUCUUUUUCAGUUUGAAAAGAAUCACAGAACUGUAGAAGUUGGAUGGGACCUCUAGAGAUCAUGAAGUACAACUCCCUGCUAGAGCAGGUUUCCCUACAGUAUGUUGCACAGGAAAGCAACAAGGUGUGCAUUAAACACCUCCAAAGAAGGAAACUCCAUAACCUCUCCAGGAAGCCUGUUCCCUCGCCUCCCUCACAGUAAAGAAGAUCUUCCUUGUGUUUUUAUGGAAAUUCCUGUCUUCCAGUUUUUGCCCAUUGCCCCUUGUUCUGUUAUUGCACACCACUGAAAAGAGUCCACCCCCAUCAACAUGAUUCAACAUGAAAAGAGCAUGCACUUUUGAUACUAAUAAACAGUUACAGAAUCGCC